UAUUACUAAGGAAAGUCCUCAGGUCGGAAGGUCUUCAGGUCGGUAGGUCCUCAAGACGGAAAGUCAUUAGGACGGAAGGACCUCAGGUCGGUAGGUCCUCAAGACGGAAGGACCUCAGGUCGGAAGGUCUUCAGGUCGGGAGGUCCUCAAGACGGAAAGUCAUCAGGACGGAAGGACCUCAGGUCGGUAGGUCCUCAAGACGGAAAGACCUCAAGUCGGAAGGUUUUCAGGUCGGGAAGUCCUCAAGGCGGAAAGACCUCAAGUCGGAAGGUUUUCAGGUCGGGAAGUCCUCAAGGCGGAAAGACCUCAAGUCGGAAG